CUGCAUUUUGAACCCUCCUGGCAGCGCCGUUAUCAGCUUCCAGGGUGAGAGUGAAUACCAGAGAAAACUGUUGAUUAAUCCAAAACAUCGAGCUCCCCCCCCUUGGCUCUGCAUUACUUUACAUCUUCAACAUUC
rnacentral:snoRNA from 1 species